rnacentral:rRNA from 1 species
UCCGUAGGGACCAAGCGUUGUUCGGAUUUACUGGGCGUAAAGGGCGCGUAGGCGGCGCGGUAAGUCACUUGUGAAAUCUCUGAGCUUAACUCAGAACGGCCAAGUGAUACUGCAGUGCUAGAGUGUGGAAGGGGCAAUCGGAAUUCUUGGUGUAGCGGUGAAAUGCGUAGAUAUCAAGAGGAACACCUGAGGUGAAGACGGGUUGCUGGGCCAACACUGACGCUGAGGCGCGAAAGCCAGGGGAGCAAACGGG